rnacentral:rRNA from 1 species
UACGUUCCCGGGUCUUGUACACACCGCCCGUCAAGCCAUGAAAGUCACCAAUACCUCGACGUAUUGCCUUGCGCAGUCCUAAGGUAGGGGAGAUGAUUGGGGUU